UAUGUAGGGUGCAAGCGUUACUCGGAAUUACUGGGCGUAAAGCGUGCGCAGGCGGUUAUGCAAGACAGAGGUGAAAUCCCCGGGCUCAACCUGGGAACUGCCUUUGUGACUGCAUAGCUAGAGUACGGUAGAGGGGGAUGGAAUUCCGCGUGUAGCAGUGAAAUGCGUAGAUAUGCGGAGGAACAUCGAUGGCGAAGGCAAUCCCCUGGACCUGUACUGACGCUCAUGCACGAAAGCGUGGGGAGCAAACAGG
rnacentral:rRNA from 1 species